AUUGAACGCUGGCGGCAGGCCUAACACAUGCAAGUCGAGCGAGUGGCGGACGGGUGAGUAAUGUCUGGGGAACUGCCUGAUAGAGGGGGAUAACUACUGGAAACGGUAGCUAAUACCGCAUACCAUCGGAUGUGCCCAUAUGGGAUUAGCUAGUAGGUGGGGUAAAGGCUCACCUAGGCGACGAUCCCUAGCUGGUCUGAGAGGAUGACCAGCCACACUGGAACUGAGACACGGUCCAGACUCCGACGGGAGGCAGCAGUGGGGAAUAUUGCACAAUGGGCGCAAGCCGGAUGCAGCCAUGCCGCGUGUAUGAAGAAGGCCUUAGGGUUGUAAAGUACUUUCAGCGGGGAGGCGUUACCCGCAGAAGAAGCACCGGCUAACUCCGUGCCAGCAGCCGCGGUAAUAC
rnacentral:rRNA from 1 species